rnacentral:rRNA from 1 species
AGGGUUUGAUCAUGGCUCAGAAUGAACGCUGGCGGCGUGCCUAACACAUGCAAGUCGAACGAGAGAACAGGAGCUUGCUCCUGGGCUCUAGUGGCAGACGGGUGAGUAACGCGUGGGCAACCUACCUUUGAGUGGGGGAUACCCAGCCGAAAGGCUGGUUAAUACCGCAUGACAUGGAGACUACUUCGGUAGAUUCUAUUAAAGUUUGGGAUUUCGGAAACGAGACCAGAUGCUUGAAGAGGGGCUCGCGUUGGAUUAGCUAGUUGGUGGGGUAAAGGCCUACCAAGGCGACGAUCUAUAGCCGGCCUGAGAGGGUGAUCGGCCACACUGGAACUGAGACACGGUCCAGACUCCUACGGGAGGCAGCAGUGGGGAAUUUUGCGCAAUGGGGGAAACCCUGACGCAGCAACGCCGCGUGAGUGAAGAAGCAUCUUGGUGUGUAAAGCUCUGUCGACAGGGACUAAGAAUAUUCGUUUAAGAGAUGGAUAUUUUGAAGGUACCUGUAGAGGAAGCCCCGGCUAACUCCGUGCCAGCAGCCGCGGUAAUACGGGGGGGGCAAGCGUUAUUCGGAAUUACUGGGCGUAAAGGGCGCGCAGGCGGUCCGUUAAGUGAGAAGUGAAAGCCCACGGCUUAACCGUGGAGGUGCUUCUCAUACUGGCGAACUAGAGUAUGGGAGAGGAAAGCGGAAUACCCGGUGUAGCGGUGAAAUGCGUAGAGAUCGGGUGGAACACCAGUGGCGAAGGCGGCUUUCUGGACCAUAACU